CACCUCCAUUUCCCUCAUCUCCCAAAUUAACUAAACCUAGCCGCCCUAAAUCCCCAAAUCAACUGAUCGGCGGCACCACCUCUUAACCUCCCCAAAUCUUCACCAAACAAUAACAUCUCCCCCUCUCUCUGAAUCCCAUAACCAUUUCCCUCAAAACUUUCUUGAUUUUGUAGGUUUUAGAUCUAAAAUCUCAGAAAAACCUAGUUUUGCCCUUUUCGAUUGCUUCGUAAGAUUCAUUCAAUUUGGCUCGAAACUUAUGUUGAUUGAUUGAUUGCUCUGGACAAGAGAAAUCUAUUAACAUUAGUUUUGGACCAUUUCAAAGUCGCCAAGAUUCGGCCGUUCCGCCCAUUGCUUGACUGGAUUCUGUAUUGCAUGUCUCUUUUAAACUCGAGCAGGUAUAACUUCAUUCUUUUUCUUUCCUUCAUUAACUUUAAUCCUUUGUUUCAUUGGCUUAUUUUACAAUUUCAUUUUUUUUGGUUAAGGUUAUGCUAAACGAGAUUUAUUUUAGACAAAUUUGUUAGUUAAAUCGCAUUUCUAUUUUGUUAGAAAAUAAUUGAAAGCCAAUGCUUUGUUUUAAUUAAUUAGUUACUUCUUAAUUAGUUUUUGUUUAGCAUGUGCCCGGUUUAACUAAGGUCUAAGUGAUUAAUCUGUUUUUAGGUUCAAAUUGGAAUUAAUUGGUAAAUAACAGAAGUUUGAGGGGGCUAAAGGGCAUUGCAAAAAUAGGGAAUCUUGUUUAGUUAUUUAGGAAGCUUCUAGAGAGGAGUAAAAGUGCAAUAAAAAAUGGAUUAGGUCAAAUUUGGGGUAAAAAGAUUUAAUUUCAGAAGCUAACUGUCCAUUUCUGUUGAAAAGAUGCCCUUAUUCCUGAAUUUUAGGGGCUGCACAUUCCUCAAAUUAUUCCCUCUUCAUUGUGCACAUAACAAAUUCUCACUCUCUAUAUAAGACCUCAUAUCCUCUCACUCACGGAGACACACGAAUUCUCUGAAAAAAUUUAGAAUCCUCUCUUCAUUUUUUACACUGAUUUCUCAAAGGAAACACUCUGAAAAAUUCCAUAAAGGUUUUCACAAGUUAUUCUUCUCUGUAUGAUUUGCUAUUCAACUUCUUGUUUCUUCAAUACUGCAUCAAGUUGCUGAAGAAAUCUGUUGCUUUCGUUUGCUGCUGGAAUUUUGAAUUUCAUCUUCUAGUUUCAGACCUUUGCUUGUCUUGUCUAGCUGAUUUUCUGCACUUAGGUGUGUUGAUGUUUGCUUUGCUAGUAUGUGUCGAACAUUUCUACUUAGCCUAGUUCUGUAUAUGAAUGAAUUCCAAACCGUGAGUAAUUUAUGCCUACUGGUCUAAUGAUGUUCAGAAGGUUAAGUUGGUUGGUUUGAUCACCAGUUGUUCAAAUCCAUCCAAUGAAUGGAUUAAAUCAACGAAGUUGGCUCAUGCAAUUCUGUCACUGUAUCGUCAAGGAGGCAGUAUAAUAAAUAUAUAUGUUUUAGAAUUGUUUAGGCCAGAUUUUUAAAGUUAUUAUGAUUUACACAAAGUUAUCUAUGUAAUAGACUCAUUUGAGUUUAAAGUGCCAAUUCCUUCUUGUUAGCUGUAUUGAUUUGUUUCCAGGCUUAGUUAAUUUGUAAUAUCAAAGUGAAUGAAGAUUUCAUUUGUAAAAUUUGUUAAAUUUUCUGCAUUUCUAUAUGUAUUGGGCCCAGUGAGACUA